GAUGCUGAAGCAGAGAACAAGAAGGGGAUUUGCCUGGUGAUGCCAUUUCAGACAUUCUAAGAGCCCUCUGGAGUCUUCAUCGUUGAUCAUUUUUCUGACCAAGAAAUUGAGUCUUCAAGUGUUUAGUAAGAAGUUGGCCCAGCAUCUUUGGAGUUAACCAUGUUACUACUACUAUUACUGAUACUAUCACUGAGAAAAAAUACUUUGGCCAUUUUUGGUGUUCUAAAUGUCUGAAAUCAAUUUAUGAAGCUGGGACCAAGGCCUGGAAUAAGCACGUGGAUUUUACAACUGACCAAGAGAAUGAGAGCAUAGAUGUGUCUGCCAGUGUGAAUGAACCAUCGGCCUCCUCCAUCCACCAUGUGCAAAUUUUUUCCAUUUCCUUUCAAGAUCAGCUAGGCAAUUUAUGAGAUGCUUGUGAAAGGCCUCCUGGGAAUGGUUAUUUCUGAAUGUCAUCUGAUGACAGUUGUAUUAUCUCUAUAAUCUGGGACUCAAAAGAGCUCUCUUACUUGUCCCUGGCACCUCGUGAGGAGGAGAAGGCAAAAUCAAAGUACCUGCUCUGUUGGGGGGCUGAUAACCCAGGAUGGAUAUAAAAUGCAGAUGUUGAAUUUUAUUAAGGAAACUUAAUUUUAUGAUUGCAACUCUGGUCUGUUUAUAGGAUGAAAAAUUCAUACAGGAGUUGGCAACAAUUUCACACCCUGGUUUGAUGCCUUAGCAGAUGUUAUGGGAGGUUUCUGUAGAUCAUUAAAGUAGGGUUGGGUUGGAGUGAGCAUCCGCAAAGAGCCACCUGCCCAAAGUAGCUGGCUUAGAAAUUGGUCUGAACCUGUG